rnacentral:rRNA from 1 species
GCCAGCAGCCGCGGUAAUUCCAGCUCCAAUAGCGUAUAUUAAAGUUGUUGCGGUUAAAAAGCUCGUAGUUGGAUUUCUGUUGAGGACGACCGGUCCGCCCUCUGGGUGAGUAUCUGGCUCGGCCUUGGCAUCUUCUUGGAGAACGUAACUGCACUUGACUGUGUGGUGCGGUAUCCAGGACUUUUACUUUGAGGAAAUUAGAGUGUUUCAAGCAGGCGUACGCCUUGAAUACAUUAGCAUGGAAUAAUGAGAUAGGACCUUAGUUCUAACUUGUUGGUUCUUAGGAAGAAGGUAAUGGUUAACAGGGAUAAUUGGGGGUAUUCGUAUUUAACUGUCAGAGGUGAAAUUCUUGGAUUUGUUAAAGACGGACAACUGCGAAAGCAUUUGCCAAGGAUGUUUUCAUUGAUCAAGAACGAAAGUUAGGGGAUCGAAGACGAUCAGAUACCGUCCUAGUCUUAACCAUAAACGAUGCCAGCUAGCGAUCUGCCUGCGUUUUUACUGUAGACUGGGCAGGAAGCUUCCGGGAAACCAAAGCAUUUGGGUUCCAGGGGAAGUAUGGUUGCAAAGCUGGAACUUAAAGGAAUUGACGGAAGGGCACCACCAGGAGUGGAGCCUGUGGCUUAAUUUGACUCAACACGGGAAAUCUCACCAGGCCCGGACACUGGAAGGAUUGACAGAUUGAUAGCUCUUUCUUGAUUCGGUGGGUGGUGGUGCAUGGCCGUUCUUAGUUGGUGGAGUGAUUUGUCUGGUUAAUUCCGAUAACGAACGAGACUCUGUCCUGCUAAAUAGUUUCUACUUCUCUUUUGAGUAGAAAUUUCUUCUUAGAGGGACUGGUGACUCUUAGUCACACGAGAUUGAGCAAUAACAGGUCUG